GCCAUUCCGAAGUUGAUGAGUGGACUGGGGACGAGUGUUAAAAAGUGCCCAAAUUAAGAAAUGAACCAAAUCACUAAAAAGACCACCUCAAAAAGUAUACAAAGUUUGAAAACGUUUACAUGAAUACCCUUCGAAUAAUAAGCUUUCGAAAAAUGUGAAAUUACUGAUUAAAAGAUUGUUUUUGGAACGCGCGUCCCCCAAAACAAAAAUUACGGUACAUUACAUAGUAA